UGUGGACUAGCUAGUGUAGAUACUAGUCGAAGAAAUGUUGUUGGAUGGCCUUUGGCGUAUCCAUGUGUGCCUAUGUGCCACCGAGAGCAAUGGAGAAUUUCUUUAGGGUAUCCCACGACCCUAUAUAUAUAAAUACCUUUAAACUUCUACUCAAUCAGACGUCUUUCUCUAGCUUAGUGAUAGUUCUUCCAACUACAUGGGUUUGACCUCCACCCCUAUUCAGUUUUUACUGUUUUUUUAGUUUUUUCAAUGGAUUUUUUGUAUGCAUACCGUGUUAACUCUAAUUUACGCUUGUCACAC
rnacentral:lncRNA from 1 species